GCAUGUGCAUNNNCNAAAAUGGAAAGUCGAAAGACACUUUGGGAGGGGCCUGCGGCCCAUCAGCUAGUUGGUAAGGUAACGGCUUACCAAGGCGAAGACGGGUAGGGGACCUGAGAGGGUGACCCCCCACAAUGGAACUGAAACACGGUCCAUACACCUACGGGUGGCAGCAGUAGGGAAUAUUGGUAAUGGGCGAAAGCCUGAACCAGCAACGCCGCGUGUGCGAUGAAGGCCUUCGGGUCGUAAAGCACUUUUUACCGGGAAGAGGAAGGACGGUACCGGUAGAAUAAGCCUCGGCUAACUACGUGCCAGCAGCCGCGCNAAAACGUAGGAGGCGAGCGUUAUCCGGAUUUACUGGGUGUAAAGCGCAUGCAGGCGGUACGAUAAGUUGGGUGUAAAAGCUCACGGCUUAACCGGGAGAGGUCGCUCANGACUGUCGAACUAGGGUGUGGUAGAGGAAGGUGGAAUUCCAGGUGUAGUGGUGAAAUGCGUACAGAUCUGGAGGAACACCAGUGGCGAAAGCGGCCUUCUGGACCAUAGCCGACGCUCAGAUGCGAAAGCCAGGGUAGCAAACGGGAUUAGAGACCCCGGUAGUCCUGGCUGUAAACGAUGUGAACUGGGUGGUUGCGGAGUAAAAUCUGUGACUAUCGAAGCCAACGCGAUAAGUUCACCACCUGGGGGAGUACNGNNGCNAGGNUAAAACUCAAGGAAUUGACGGAGGCCCGCACAAGCAGCGGAGCGUGUGGUUUAAUUCGAUGUUACACGAAGAACUUACCAGGGUUUGACAUGCAGAUGGUAGGGAAGUGAAAGCGGACCGACCCUUCGGGGAGUAUGCACAGGUGCUGCAUGGCUGUCGUCAGCUCGUGUCGUGAGAUGUUCGGUUAAGUCCNCUAACGAGCNCAACCCUCNCNGCGUGUUACAAGUGUCUCGCGGGACANCCGGUCUUAAGCCGGAGGAAGGUGGGGAUGACGUCAAGUCAGCAUGGCCUUUAUGCCCUGGGCUACACACACGCUACAAUGGUCGGUACAAUGGGUCGCGAAACCGCGAGGUGGAGCCAAUCCAGAAAGCCGAUCUCAGUUCAGAUUGCNGGCUGCAACUCGCCUGCAUGAAGACGGAGUUGCUAGUAACCGCAGGUCANCCANACUGCGGUGAAUACGUUCCCGGGCCUUGUACACACCGCCGGUCAGCUCAUGGGAGUGGGUAACACUGAAGCCGCUAUNNAACNGCAAGGGAGGAGCUGUCGAGGGUGGGGAUGA
rnacentral:rRNA from 1 species